rnacentral:tRNA from 1 species
UCCCUGAUGGCUCAUAAGGUAAAGAAUCUGCCUGCAAUGCAGGAGACCCAGGUUCAAUCCCUGGGUUGGGAA